rnacentral:rRNA from 1 species
GACGAACCGAGCGAACGUUAUUCGGAAUCACUGGGCUUAAAGGGCGCGUAGGCGGGCCGGCAAGUCAGGGGUGAAAGCCCCCAGCUCAACUGGGGAAGUGCCUCUGAUACUGCCGGCCUCGAGCGAGGUAGGGGCGUGCGGAACUUCCGGUGGAGCGGUGAAAUGCGUAGAUAUCGGAAGGAACACCGGUGGCGAAAGCGGCGCGCUGGACCUCAUCUGACGCUGAGGCGCGAAAGCCAGGGGAGCAAACGGG